GCACUGCUGAGGAGUCCCACAAUAGGACGAAAGGUCCGUCCAGUGC
rfam:Schistosoma mansoni, Puerto Rico, WGS project CABG01000000 data, contig: 0049